rnacentral:rRNA from 1 species
GAUGAACGCUAGCGGCAGGCCUAAUACAUGCAAGUCGAACGGUUGUAGUGAUACAAUAGUGGCGCACGGGUGCGUAACACGUAUGCAACCUACCUUAUAGACGGGGAUAGCCUUUGGAAACGGAGAUUAAUACCCGAUAGUAACAUUGAUUGGCAUCAAUUAAUGUUUAAAGAUUUAUCGCUAUAAGCUGGGCAUGCGUCCAAUUAGUUAGUUGGUUAGGUAAUGGCUGACCAAGACGAUGAUUGGUAGGGGAACUGAGAGGUUAAUCCCCCACACUGGCACUGAGAUACGGGCCAGACUCCUACGGGAGGCAGCAGUAGGGAAUAUUGGGCAAUGGAGGCAACUCUGACCCAGCCAUGCCGCGUGCAGGAUGAAGGCGUUAUGCGUUGUAAACUGCUUUUAUAUAGGAAGAAAUAGACCUUGCGAGGUAAGUUGACGGUACUAUAUGAAUAAGCACCGGCUAACUCCGUGCCAGCAGCCGCGGUAAUACGGAGGGUGCAAGCGUUGUCCGGAUUUAUUGGGUUUAAAGGGUGCGUAGGCGGUUUAUUAAGUCAGUGGUGAAAGACGGUCGCUCAACGAUUGCAGUGCCAUUGAUACUGGUAGACUUGAGUGAGAUUGAGGUAGCUGGAAUGGAUAGUGUAGCGGUGAAAUGCAUAGAUAUUAUCCAGAACACCAAUUGCGUAGGCAAGUUACUAAGUCUCAACUGACGCUGAGGCACGAAAGUGUGGGUAUCAAACAGGAUUAGAUACCCUGGUAGUCCACACUGUAAACGAUGAUAACUAACUGUUGGCUUUCGGGUCAGUGGUACAGAGAAAUCGUUAAGUUAUCCACCUGGGGAGUACGCCGGCAACGGUG